GUUUCUUCUUCACUGAUCUGGAAGUGGAGUGUGAUGCAGGGAAAGAGAGCUGUAGGAUUUUAUAAUGAAUCCCAGUUUCCUGAAAAUAUCCCAAGGACUGGCCUAAAUACUCCAUGAUGAAUCAUCUCUGUAGACACAAUAUUUGGUACCUGAUCAUUGGGGUAUAUUAUACUCAAUACUGACAUAAAAUGACAUGUGAAAAAAUUCUAAAACUAUGUCACAUCACUUAAAAGUAUUUCAAUAUCCUUGUUAAAAAUAUGUACUGUUGAAACAGCUGUGAUCUACUUUUGUUUUUACCAUUUCUAGCAAGUAUUUUAUUUGCAAUAAAAAAAAUUGAAGGACUA